AGAGUUUGAUCCUGGCUCAGAACGUACGCUGGCGGCACGCCUAACACAUGCAAGUCGAACGAAGUAGCAAUACUUAGUGGCAGACGGGUGAGUAACAUGUGGGUAUCUACCCUUUGGCCUGGAAUAACACGAGGAAACUUGUGCUAAUACCGGAUAAGUCUUUACGGAGAAAGCUUUAUGCACCAUUGGAUGAGCCCGCACUUGAUUAGUUUGUUGGUAGGGUAAUGGCCUACCAAGACUAUGAUCAAUAGCUGAUUUGAGAGGAUGAUCAGCCACAUUGGGACUGAGACACGGCCCAAACUCCUACGGGAGGCAGCAGUGGGGAAUCUUGCACAAUGGAGGAAACUCUGAUGCAGCGAUGCCGCGUGAGUGAAGAAGGCCUUUGGGUUGUAAAGCUCUUUCGUCGGGGAAGAAAAUGACUGUACCCGAAUAAGAAGGUCCGGCUAACUUCGUGCCAGCAGCCGCGGUAAUACGAAGGGACCUAGCGUAGUUCGGAAUUACUGGGCUUAAAGAGUUCGUAGGUGGUUGAAAAAGUUGGUGGUGAAAUCCCAGAGCUUAACUCUGGAACUGCCAUCAAAACUUUUCAGCUAGAGUAUGAUAGAGGAAAGCAGAAUUUCUAGUGUAGAGGUGAAAUUCGUAGAUAUUAGAAAGAAUACCAAUUGCGAAGGCAGCUUUCUGGAUCAUUACUGACACUGAGGAACGAAAGCAUGGGUAGCGAAGAGGAUUAGAUACCCUCGUAGUCCAUGCCGUAAACGAUGUGUGUUAGACGUUGGAAAUU
rnacentral:rRNA from 1 species